AGACAUUUGCAGCCUUCUGAAGUGGUCUGGUGCUGCUCUGUAUGGGCUGAAGCCUUCUGGAAUUGUGUGGUGACACUCUGGGUAUCGUGGCCAUCUCAACUGUGACCUAUGCUGUGAUACCUUCCCAGCAGGGAUUUCCCCAGAAGAUUUGGAUCCCACUCCUGCCAUUGUCCUGAUUUCUUGAUGAGUUUCCAAGGAACAUUUUUAAUGUCUUGGGCUCCGUGAAUUCCCUGGGCCAGUACCAAAGGCUGAGACGUAUGCACUUGGUCAUGACAUUCACCUGGGAUUUGCUGAAGCCAAAAUUAAAUCAGAUAAAGCUCCAGGUUGAAUCUGGGUCUCUUGUGUUUCAGAUUCAGUGCAACAAUUGAAACCUGCGUUUGGCUACCGCUGCUGCAUCUUUAAAGCGAAAUCGCAAAUUUGAAGUGAAAUCCACAGCGUGGAAAUGCUGAGUAAAAACCACCCAAGCCCUAGUUUUUGAUGGAUCACCUAAGCUUGACAGCCUGGCCCUUUGUGGAGCUCAGAUUCCCUUCCUCCCAUGCAGGAGUGCUGCGUGUUUCCAUUUGAGUGCAGAGUUUUGCCGUCAGGAGUGCUGACUCACGGGACAAGGAGGAAGGAACAUUUCUGGCCAAAAGUGGUGUGGAUUUGCCCUGCUGUGACUUCCCAUGCCCUGUGCCCCAUGUCCUGUCCCCAGGCACCCUCACCUGCUGCUGGAGAGGAGCCCAGGGCAGUUGGACACAUCCCACAGCUGCUGUGCUCCACGCUUGAAUCCACCUGCAGCGUUUCACCUCUCCUGCCUCUUGGGCACCAAAAGUUUAUCCCACAUCAGGCCAGGGUGCCUUGAAGGACCAGGUGAGCUAGGAGAGCAGUUGCCCCAGCCAUCCACAACCAGCUGGAAGGCUAGGUGGUUGAGUUAAGCAGGUAAAUCCCCUGGGCUCCCAUCGGGAAUGGGGGCAGAUGCAGUCCAGAGGACAAUUCCUGAACUGGUCGGUGAAUUCCUGGAUAGGUAAGUACCUUAGGUAAUGUAAUAAAUGAGAUCUCUCAGCAGCCUGUCUCUCACAGUAAAAAAGAGAGAGUUCUGCCUGUGGCUGUCUGUAAGAUAACCAUGUUCUUUGAACUUUCCUGUUAUUUACAUACAAUACACUUUUCUUUGUCCUUUUGCGCUGCAACUUAACAGAACCAGCUGAAGUACCCAUCCAGAAAAGCAGCUGUCGAAAUUGCCCGUCCUCUUUCAGAAGCAGCUAAAAGCAGUACCUAAACCUGUAGUAGCAUGCGAUUUCUCUGAGGAGGAGAUGGAAAAACCCCAAUUUUGAGGCUCUGGGAGCCCGGCCGGGCUUUUGUUCUCCCCAGGGCGCAGCAGCGCUGCUCCUGAACCAGCCGCGUUUCCCCGACAGAUGGCACUGCCUUUCUCUCCUACUUCGCCCAAAGUUUAAAAACAUUUCGUUAAAAAUAGCUGCCCCACAUUCUUAAUUGGCAAUCCUCUUUCUGUUUAUUGUUAGGCACAAAUCAAACGCUGUUUAGCUCUUGGGCGAGCUGGAUGCACAAUACAUAAAACCAUAAUGUGAGACACGCAGAUUUUCUUAUUCUGUUCUGUAUCUGCUUGCUACAGCAGAAAAUACUGAACAAUUUGUGGUUUGUCACUAAUUUAGUUCUGAUAAAAUGUUAUUUUUUCCGUCAUGAAGAUAGAA